AUGCAGUGUACCCGCGGCAAGACGGAAAGACCCCGUGAACCUUUACUAUAGCUUGACACUGAACAUUGAGCCUUGAUGUGUAGGAUAGGUGGGAGGCUUAGAAGUGUGGACGCCAGUCUGCAUGGAGCCGACCUUGAAAUACCACCCUUUAAUGUUUGAUGUUCUAACGUUGACCCGUAAUCCGGGUUGCGGACAGUGUCUGGUGGGUAGUUUGACUGGGGCGGUCUCCUCCUAAAGAGUAACGGAGGAGCACGAAGGUUGGCUAAUCCUGGUCGGACAUCAGGAGGUUAGUGCAAUGGCAUAAGCCAGCUUGACUGCGAGCGUGACGGCGCGAGCAGGUGCGAAAGCAGGUCAUAGUGAUCCGGUGGUUCUGAAUGGAAGGGCCAUCGCUCAACGGAUAAAAGGUACUCCGGGGAUAACAGGCUGAUACCGCCCAAGAGUUCAUAUCGACGGCGGUGUUUGGCACCUCGAUGUCGGCUCAUCACAUCCUGGGGCUGAAGUAGGUCCCAAGGGUAUGGCUGUUCGCCAUUUAAAGUGGUACGCGAGCUGGGUUUAGAACGUCGUGAGACAGUUCGGUCCCUAUCUGCCGUGGGCGCUGGAGAACUGAGGGGGGCUGCUCCUAGUACGAGAGGACCGGAGUGGACGCAUCACUGGUGUUCGGGUUGUCAUGCCAAUGGCACUGCCCGGUAGCUAAAUGCGGAAGAGAUAAGUGCUGAAAGCAUCUAAGCACGAAACUUGCCCCGAGAUGAGUUCUCCCUGACUCCUUGAGAGUCCUGAAGGAACGUUGAAGACGACGACGUUGAUAGGCCGGGUGUGUAAGCGCAGCGAUGCGUUGAGCUAACCGGUACUAAUGAACCGUGAGGCUUAACCUUACAACGCCGAAGGUGUUU
rnacentral:rRNA from 1 species